AUUGAACGCUGGCGGCAUGCUUUACACAUGCAAGUCGAACGGUAACAGGCCGCAAGGUGCUGACGAGUGGCGAACGGGUGAGUAAUGCAUCGGAACGUGCCCAGUCGUGGGGGAUAACGCAGCGAAAGCUGCGCUAAUACCGCAUACGAUCUAUGGAUGAAAGCAGGGGAUCGCAAGACCUUGCGCGAAUGGAGCGGCCG
rnacentral:rRNA from 1 species